GCGGGAAGCGAGCCCUGAGAUGAGUCAUCCCUGACCCCUUGAGGGUCCUAAAGGGCCGUUGGAGACCACAACGUUGAUAGGUGGGGUGUGUAAGCGCAGUGAUGUGUUGAGCUAACCCAUACUAAUUACCCGUGAGGCUUAACCAUACAACACCCAAGAAGUGUUCUG
rnacentral:rRNA from 1 species